GGUCGUACUCCCCAGGCGGUGUGUUUAUCGGUUUCCCUGCGACACUGAAAAUAAAUUUCCAACGUCUAACACACAUCGUUUACGGCAUGGACUACGAGGGUAUCUAAUCCUCUUCGCUACCCAUGCUUUCGUUCCUCAGUGUCAGUAAUGAUCCAGAAAGCUGCCUUCGCAAUUGGUAUUCUUUCUAAUAUCUACGAAUUUCACCUCUACACUAGAAAUUCUGCUUUCCUCUAUCAUACUCUAGCUGAAAAGUUUUGAUGGCAGUUCCAGAGUUAAGCUCUGGGAUUUCACCACCAACUUUUUCAACCACCUACGAACUCUUUAAGCCCAGUAAUUCCGAACUACGCUAGGUCCCUUCGUAUUACCGCGGCUGCUGGCACGAAGUUAGCCGGACCUUCUUAUUCGGGUACAGUCAUUUUCUUCCCCGACGAAAGAGCUUUACAACCCAAAGGCCUUCUUCACUCACGCGGCAUCGCUGCAUCAGAGUUUCCUCCAUUGUGCAAGAUUCCCCACUGCUGCCUCCCGUAGGAGUUUGGGCCGUGUCUCAGUCCCAAUGUGGCUGAUCAUCCUCUCAAAUCAGCUAUUGAUCAUAGUCUUGGUAGGCCAUUACCCUACCAACAAACUAAUCAAGUGCGGGCUCAUCCAAUGGUGCAUAAAGCUUUCUCCGUAAAGACUUAUCCGGUAUUAGCACAAGUUUCCUCGUGUUAUUCCAGGCCAAAGGGUAGAUACCCACAUGUUACUCACCCGUCUGCCACUAAGUAUUGCUACUUCGUUCGACUUGCAUGUGUUAGGCGUGCCGCCAGCGUACGUUCUGAGCCAGGAUCAAACUCU
rnacentral:rRNA from 1 species